rnacentral:rRNA from 1 species
GCUACGGGAGGCUGCAGUGAGGAAUAUUGGUCAAUGGGCGCAAGCCUGAACCAGCCAAGUCGCGUGAGGGAUGACGGUCCUAUGGAUUGUAAACCUCUUUUGUCGGGGAGCAAGGCCCGCCACGUGUGGCGGGAAGGAGAGUACCCGAAGAAAAAGCAUCGGCUAACUCCGUGCCAGCAGCCGCGGUAAUACGGAGGAUGCGAGCGUUAUCCGGAUUUAUUGGGUUUAAAGGGUGCGCAGGCGGAAGAUCAAGUCAGCGGUAAAAUUGAGAGGCUCAACCUCUUCGAGCCGUUGAAACUGGUUUUCUUGAGUGAGUGAGAAGUAUGCGGAAUGCGUGGUGUAGCAGUGAAAUGCGUAGAUAUCGAGAGGAACACUCGUGGCGAAGGCGGGUUCCUGGACAUUAACUGACGCUGAGGCACGAAGGCCAGGGGAGCGAAAGGGAUUAGAUACCCUGGUAGUC